GGAGGUUACCAGCGCAAAGCCGAAACUCGCCCGCAAACAGGCUCAGGAGGCUGUGAGUCCGCAGCAGCGGAUCCUGGGAAAGCAAGCGAGUUGACGCCACAGCAGCCUUUUGAAGAGGAAAAGCGGAGACCCUCAGCUACAGAUCUUCGAAAUUUCUUACAUGACUUCUGAUCUUCACAACUGUGCAAUCCAUUUUCAAAACGGGAAAAAGACUCAGAAAUCAGAAGUUGUUACGUCUAGAGUCGCUUAUUCACCAUAUUUCAUUGUCUUGAUAGCAUCACUAGACCGUGCAUAAUUCAUGCAUGGGUGUGUUUUAGGGACAAAAAAGUCAAGUAGGAAGAAAAGACAGAUGAUCAAGAACAGAUGAAGAUGAAAACCAAAGAACGACCUACCGAAGAAAGUACCAUUUGAGUCUCCAUCCUCAUGCUUCUGCUGCUGUUGCUGCUGCUGUUGCUGCUGCUCCCUCAGCUGCAAGGAUUCCUGACAAACGUAAAUGGUUAGCCUUGGGCGCACCAUCCUAAGGAGGAAAAAAGAAAGCUGUUACUCUUUCAUGAAAGCUCAUCAAUGUAUCACCAAAGCCGAAUGGCUCAUAACAGGGACAACGGAUAUUUAACUGAAUGAAAAAUGGAAUAUCAUGAGGACCUCCUUGGAUCAAGUACAGGAAAAGAUAUUUUUCAUCUUUAUUUGGCACAUCGCUGGCAUUCAAAAAGAAUGUUUCGACAAGAUGUAUUUAGCUGUACAAAAAGUAUUGCGAAGAGUCCCUGAAUCCAAAUCCAUUUGAAAUCCAGCCCCACUGAUAUUUUACCACUAAUUACAUACCGGCCUUUCAAUGCAUUAAAAAGUCUGAUUCCAUCUGCAGGGCCACAGAUUUGAAUCACAUCAUCUCUAGUUAGCUUCAAUAAAUCUGCCCCUGGAAUAAAUAUAAGAAAAUGGGUGAUAACGGCAAAGAUUCUCCUUGUUAAUGAUUUAAAAUGGACUGUGUUACAACGACACCUCAUUACUAGUAUGCUACAGUCAUAAUCUCUUGCAUGGCAUAUAAGGCCCUCCAUGACCUGGCCCCUGCAUCCUCUCUCACCUCAAUUCCCACCCAAUUAACUUAUUCAUUUAACCCUAUGCUUUCAUCAUGCUGAUCACGCCUAAUGAGCAAGUUGUUCCUCCUGCCUGAAAUAUCCUUCCACUGUCUGACCACCAGACUCUUCCUCAGCCCUCAAGAUUUACCUCACACAUCACACAUCACACAUGUUCCUUCCACUGUCUGACCACCAGACUCUUCCUCAGCCCUCAAGAUUUACCUCACGCAUCACACAUCACACAUGUUCCCAAACUCCAGAGCCUUACACUUAUCUAUUGCAUUACAACUAUUUGUUUACCUUUUUCAGGGUUUUAUUUUGAUUUGGGUUUUCUUUGAUACUAGAUCGUGACUGAUCAGGAAAUAUGCCUUAUCCAUUUGUGUAUUCCUACCAUACCUGGUACACAGAAGGUGCUAAAUAAGAGUGGAAUGUGCAAAGAAAACAUAAUAUAGUGAUAGCAAGGGGAAAAUUUCCGACUACCUGCAAUGCU